rnacentral:rRNA from 1 species
AGUGAACGCUGGCGGCGUGCUAAUACAUGCAAGUCGAACGGAAUUUAAAAGAGCUUGCUCUUUUGAAUUUAGUGGCGCACGGGUGAGUAAUAUAUAGCUAAUCUGCCCCUUGUGGAGGACAACAGUUAGAAAUGACUGCUAAUACUCCAUACUCCUUUUUACCAUAAGAUAAAUCGGGAAAGAAUUUCGGCAAGGGAUGAGACUAUAUCGUAUCAGCUAGUCGGUGGGGUAACGGCCUACCGAGGCUAUGACGCGUAACUGGUCUGAGAGGAUGAUCAGUCACAUUGGAACUGAGACACGGUCCAAACUCCUACGGGAGGCAGCAGUAGGGAAUAUUGCGCAAUGGGGGAAACCCUGACGCAGCAACGCCGCGUGGAGGAUGACACUUUUCGGAGCGUAAACUCCUUUUGUUAGGGAAGAAUAAUGACGGUACCUAACGAGUAAGCACCGGUAA